UUCCGGUUGAUCCUGCCGGAGGCUACCGCUAUUGGAGUUCGAUUAAGCCAUGCGAGUCGAGAGUCUUAGGGACUCGGCGUACCGCUCAGUAACACGUGGGUAACCUGCCCUAUGCUGGGGGAUAACCUCGGGAAACUGAGAAUAAUACCCCAUAGUUCACCACGCCUGGAACGGUGGGUGGAUGAAAGCUCCGGCGGCAUAGGAUGGGCCUGCGGCGUAUCAGGUUGUAGGGGGUGUAAUGUACCCUCUAGCCAUCUACGCGUACGGGUGUUGGGAGACAUCGCCCGGAGAUGGAUUCUGAGACACGAAUCCAGACCCUACGGGGUGCAGCAGGCGCGAAAACUUGGCAAUGCGAGCAAUCGUGACCAGGGAACUCCAAGUGCAUCGGGUAAGACCGAUGCUUUUCUUGACUCUUCAAAGGUCUUGGAAUAAGGGGUGGGUAAGGACGGUGCCAGCCGCCGCGGUAAUACCGGCGCCUCAAGUGGUAGUCGCUUUUAUUGGGCCUAAAACGUCCGUAGCCGGUUUGGUACAUUCGUGGGUAAAUCAAGGCGCUCAACGUCUUGAAUUCUGCGAGCACGGCCAGACUUGGGACCGGGUGAGGUGUGGGGUACUCUCAGGGUAGGGGUAAAAUCCUGUCAUCCUGAGAGGACCACCUGUUGCGAAGGCGCCACACUAGAACGGAUCCGACGGUCAGGGACGAAGCCUAGGGGCACGAACCGGAUUAGAUACCCGGGUAGUCCUAGGUGUAAACGCUGUGGACUUGAUGUUGGGAGUGCUCCGAGCACCCUCAGUGUCGAAGCGAAGGUGAUAAGUCCACUGCCUGGGGAGUACGGUCGCAAGGCUGAAACUUAAAGGAAUUGGCGGGGGAGCACUGCAACCUGAGGAUUGUGCGGUUUAAUUGGAUUCAACGCCGG
rnacentral:rRNA from 1 species